CCUACGGGUGGCAGCAGUGAGGAAUAUUGGUCAAUGGGCGCGAGCCUGAACCAGCCAAGUAGCGUGAAGGAUGACUGCCCUACGGGUUGUAAACUUCUUUUAUAAGGGAAUAAAGUGAUGCACGUGUGCCUUUUUGUAUGUAUUUUAUGAAUAAGGAUCGGCUAACUCCGUGCCAGCAGCCGCGGUAAUACGGAGGAUCCGAGCGUUAUCCGGAUUUAUUGGGUUUAAAGGGAGCGUAGGUGGGUUGUUAAGUCAGUUGUGAAAGUUUGCGGCUCAACCGUAAAAUUGCAAUUGAGACUGGCAGCCUUGAGUACACUUCAGGUAGGCGGAAUUCGUGGUGUAGCGGUGAAAUGCUUAGAUAUCACGAAGAACCCCGAUUGCGAAGGCAGCCUACUAAACUGCCACUGACAUUGAUGCUCGAAAGUGUGGGUAUCAAACAGGAUUAGAUACCCGAGUAGUC
rnacentral:rRNA from 1 species